AACAAACGCUGGCGGCGUGCCUAAUACAUGCAAGUCGAACGGGGAAAGCUUUCGGGUGAGUACUAGUGGCGCACGGGUGAGGAACGCGUGGAUAAUCUGCCUUAGAGUGGGGGAUAACUAGUCGAAAGAUUAGCUAAUACCGCAUAAGACCACAGGAGCUGCGGCUCUAGGGGUCAAAGGUUUUUCGCUCUAAGAUGAGUCCGCGUAAGAUUAGCUAGUUGGUGAGGUAACGGCUCACUAAGGCGACGAUCUUUAACUGGUCUGAGAGGAUGAUCAGUCACACUGGAACUGAGACACGGUCCAGACUCCUACGGGAGGCAGCAGUAGGGAAUAUUGCACAAUGGAGGAAACCCUGAUGCAGCGACGCCGCGUGAGUGAUGAAGGCCUUCGGGUCGUAAAGCUCUGUCGCAGGGGAAUAACACAAUGAAUGUACCCUGUAAGAAAGGAUCGGCUAACUUCGUGCCAGCAGCCGCUGUAACAC
rnacentral:rRNA from 1 species